UUAGAGACCCUGUCCUCAGCUUGCUAUGCUGAGGGGGUGAGACAGGCAUCUUGCUGUUCAGGCCGCAGCAGCCCGGAGCCUCGGCAGCCGCGCACCUCCCCGCUGCCCACUCGUAAAACAACAGUUUGCUCACACUCAGGGGUAAUUUUAGCAAAAUGAGUGGAAAAGUGCUUCCUUUCACCCACUGGGAGAGCAUAUUUCCGAGGAGAUGAAGGUCCGUCUGUAAGAUUGAGGCGUCUUCCUCUCCUCCCAGGACGCCCCCCGCAAUCCUCCCGCAGCCAGACUCGCCCCGCGUGGUUCUUCUCUCCUACCCCCGCCCUCGCGGUGUUGGGGGAGGAAGGGAGGCGAGAAAAAAGGCCGCGGCAUCCGGGCCUCGCUUCUUCCCUGCAGGGGCUCCUGACAGCCGCCGCCCCGGCCCCUCUCUGCAGAGCUGGGCUGUUUCCAGACAGGACUGAGCGCCUUUGACGGUGUUCUAGGAUUACUUUGGAAAUACAGAUCAUUCUAACAUCUUUUCUAUAAUUUAACCAACAAACCUUCGUAACCUGUGAGAACCUAGGGAGCUGAGAUGAAAGGCUUUGAAAAAUCAAAACAUUCUAAAAGGCCUGAUACCACUUUUUCUUUGCUUUGCUUUUUGUUUUACAGCAGGGAGUCCACUGUGAGCCGCCCCUGGGGUUUCUGCACAUUCAGUUCUGCCUCGGCGCCACCCACCCUCCCGUCGCCGCUAGUCACAGCUGUUUUCUUUUUUCUUUCCAUCCUACGAGCAAAUACGAGAGCCCAAGGAUACUUUCUGGAAGAGAAGCGCGCGCUGCGUGCAGCUCGCCUCCCCCGCCGAGAGUGCUCCGUGCAAAGCUGCGUGCCGGCUGCAAAGUCUUUAGCUCUGAAGACCCCCUACCCCCAUCCCAUCCCAUCCCAUCCCCGCAAACGGUCAAGUUCCCAGACUUAAAAUACUUUAGAGCAGAUCAGGUGACACACAUUUCCACCAGGAAGCCCCGUCAUUCAGAGAUGGAGCGGAGAAGGGAAGGGGGGCGGCGCCCGGAAUCCUCAUUUUGCUAGAUCUUUCUCCAGGUCGCCGCGCCCGGAGGACCGCAGAAAGGUGCGCAGCGGCGCUGGCCCAUUGCGUGCCCUGGCGGGCGCGGCGCGGCGUCGGCCUCCACCGCGGAGAGGGUGGGGGGACAAAGGGUCCUCUUUGGAAACUUCUGUCCCGGUCCUUCUCGGCGCGCCGAGAGCCUGCUUAGCCAGGGCGGGGCUGGCUUCCGGAGCCCAGGCCCCAACAGGAGGCAGAGGCAUCCGCAGUCUUUCCAGGCGGAGCCCCUCCCCACUGAGGCCCGGCCUGGAGCUCUAGCCGCCCUGGAAUCCGAUUUUAAUGUGACGAAGCCAGACUCUGAGGCUGCGGCGAUGCUGCCGCGGGGGCGGAAGCGGGAGAGAGCGGCGCAGCGCCUGGCGGGCCUGGAGUGGCCUCCUUCCCAUUCCUUAGAGGAGCAUGGCAGCCGCGUUUGCAUCGCUAGGACGCCUGUUAGAAAUGCUGUCUUGGCCCCACCCCAGGCCUACUGAACUAGAAUCUGCAUUUUAACGGAUCCACAGGUGUCUCAGGUGCAUGUUAAGUGUGAGCAGCCCUAGUAAAGAACCAGUUCAGAUCUGCAGCUCACUCCCAGGCUUGGGUGUGGAGAGGGGAGGCAGAGAAGGUGGUUGGCCACUUUUCAUAACAAAAGGGAGGCCGGAAGAGGCUUAUCUUGCUUUCUUUCUUUGCAUGUUACAAGCCAAGGACUGGGCAAGGGCGAGAGAGUUCAUCUCCUGUCGUAGAAUACUGAGCAUCCACUCAAUGUCCCAGCCAGGG
ensembl:lncRNA